AUAAAAGUGAUUACUCUGCUGCAAAGGUUUUUAUAGGGUUUAGGUCUUGCUAAGGGGGAUGUUUAGGGGAGAGAAGCUUUUUUUUAUGGUCAUGUAUAGGAACUGACACUUUGUCUGCAGCAAUCUACUUUACCUCCUAAACAUAUCGGUACUCAAAGACUCCAUCUGUUGGAUUUGUAUGAGUAAUCCUGGGGCUGGCAUUUCUUUGCCCUUCAUGUAGAAGCCUGGAGGUGAAGUCUUUUAAGAGCCUGCAUUUUAACUUAAAAUAUGCUUUCUUGGAAAGGGGGAGCUCUUCUAAUUUAACAUAUCAAAUAGCAGAGAUCCUUGUAACUCUGGAACAAGGAGGCUCAAGACAGACACCAGAUUCGAUCUUCAAAGGAGGCAAACCUGCUUUUAUCCAGGCACCGAUUCGAGGAGAAGUCUGUCUCUUUAAUUGCAUCUCCCAGAGAGGGUCCAAUCUCUGUCCCGCUGCAUGCUACGGUCCUCAAGUUGCUUGGCAGGUCAGUUUACCAAUUAACAUUUUGCAGAUA
rnacentral:lncRNA from 1 species